rnacentral:rRNA from 1 species
GACGAACGCUGGCGGCGUGCUUAACACAUGCAAGUCGAGCGGGCUGUAGCAAUACAGUCAGCGGCAAACGGGUGCGUAACACGUAAGUAAUCUUCCCCCAAGACCGGGACAACAUUUCGAAAGAGAUGCUAAUACCGGAUGUGGUAGCGAGAACUAAUGUUUUUGCUACUAAAUGGAACGUAAGAACCGCUUAGGGAUGAGCUUGCGGCCUAUCAGCUAGUUGGUAAGGUAAUGGCUUACCAAGGCGAUGACGGGUAGCUGGUCUGAGAGGACGACCAGCCACACUUGCACUGAGACACGGGCAAGACUCCUACGGGAGGCAGCAGUGAGGAAUUUUCCGCAAUGGACGAAAGUCUGACGGAGCGACGCCGUGUGUGUGAUGAAAUCUUUCGGGAUGUAAAGCACUGUCGAGAGGGACGAUAUUGACGGUACCUCUGGAGGAAGCCCCGGCUAACUACGUGCCAGCAGCCGCGGUAAUACGUAGGGGGCGAGCGUUGUCCGGAAUUAUUGGGCGUAAAGGGCGUAUAGGCUGUUCUGUAAGUUGGAUGUUAAAGGUAUGGGCUCAACUCAUACAUUGCGUUCAAUACUGCAGUUCUAGAGAUUGGUAGAGGAGAACGGAACUUCCGGUGUAGCGGUGAAAUGCGUAGAUNUCGGAAGGAACACCAGUGGCGAAGGCGGUUUCUGGGCCNUUCUGACGCUGAG